UACAGAGGGUGCGAGCGUUGUCCGGAAUCACUGGGCGUAAAGGGCGCGUAGGCGGCCUGAUAAGUAGGGGGUGAAAUCUUGCGGCUCAACCGCAAGGCUGCCUUCUAAACUGUCAGGCUGGAGCACGGUAGAGGCAGAUGGAAUUCCCGGUGUAGCGGUGAAAUGCGCAGAUAUCGGGAAGAACACCCGUGGCGAAGGCGGUUCUCUGGGACGGUACUGACGCUGAGACGCGAAAGCGUGGGGAGCGAACAGG
rnacentral:rRNA from 1 species